rnacentral:lncRNA from 1 species
UCCUGCAGAUGAUGGUGUAAGCAUCCCCGGAGAAUACACCUCCUUCCUGGCUCCCAUUUCUUCCUCGAAGUUGUACAACGAGGUCCGCGCCUGUCGGGAGAAGGACCGUGACCCUGAGGUAAAGAGCUGCUUUUCUAGGAGGAGGGACUAUCCUUCAGUCUGCUCUCCUGUCUUCCUCUGAAGCCAGUGAAGAGGUGAGAGGAGCUGGGAUUGAAGAACGAGGGUGAAGUAAAACGAUGUUUUCGUUCUUUGAUGCUGGAACUCCAGCUUUCUCUGGGAAGUGGUGCCUCCUGUCUGUCUGUCUGUCUGUCUUCUGUCUCCUGAAGUUGUUGCUUUCUCACCCUGGCCAGGCACAGUUUGAGAUGCCUUAUGUGGUUCGGCUGCACAACUUCCACCAGCUUUCUGCUCCUCAG